rnacentral:rRNA from 1 species
GAUGAACGCUGGCGGCGUGCCUAAUACAUGCAAGUCGAGCGAACAGACGAGGAGCUUGCUCCUCUGACGUUAGCGGCGGACGGGUGAGUAACACGUGUAUAACCUACCUAUAAGACUGGGAUAACUUCGGGAAACCGGAGCUAAUACCGGAUAAUAUAUUGAACCGCAUGGUUCAAUAGUGAAAGACGGUUUUGCUGUCACGUAUAGAUGGAUCCGCGCCGCAUUAGCUAGUUGUUAAGGUAACGGCUUACCAAGGCAACGAUGCGUAGCCGACCUGAGAGGGGGAUCGGCCACACUGGAACUGAGACACGGUCCAGACUCCUACGGGAGGCAGCAGUAGGGAAUCUUCCGCAAUGGGCGAAAGCCUGACGGAGCAACGCCGCGUGAGUGAUGACGGUCUUCGGAUCGUAAAACUCUGUUAUUAGGGAAGAACAAAUGUGUAAGUAACUAUGCACGUCUUGACGGUACCUAAUCAGAAAGCCACGGCUAACUACGUG